rnacentral:rRNA from 1 species
AUCAGCUAGUUGGUAAGGUAAUGGCUUACCAAGGCAAUGACGGGUAGCUGGAUCGAGAGGUUGACCAGCCACACUGGGACUGAGACACGGCCCAGACUCCUACGGGAGGCAGCAGUUAGGAAUAUUGCGCAAUGGGUGAAAGCCUGACGCAGCGACGCCGCGUGGACGAUGAAGGCCUUCGGGUUGUAAAGUCCUUUUAAUUGGGAAGAUUAUGACUGUACCAGUUGAAUAAGUCACGGCUAACUACGUGCCAGCAGCCGCGGUAAUACGUAGGUGGCUAGCGUUAUCCGGAAUUACUGGGCGUAAAGAGUGUGUAGGCGGUAUUUUAAGUCAGAUGUUAAAUCUAUGGGCUCAACCCAUAGCCCGCUUCUGAAACUGGGAUACUUGAGGCCGGAAGAGGCAAGUGGAAUUUGCGGUGUAGCGGUAAUAUGCGUAGAUAUCGUGAAGAACACCAAUGGCGAAGGCAGCUUGCUGGGCCGGUUCUGACGCUGAGACACGAAAGCGUGGGGAGCGAACGGGAUUAGAUACCCCGGUAGUCCACGCCGUAAACGAUGAUCACUAGCUGUUUAGAGUUUCGACCCUCUAUGUAGCGUAGCUAACGCGUUA